GGUCCGGUAGUUCAGUUGGUUUAGAAUGCUGCCCUGUCACGGCAGAGGUCGCGGGUUCGAGUCCCGUCCGGACCGCCA
rnacentral:tRNA from 3 species